rnacentral:lncRNA from 1 species
GGAAAAAGAAAAAAUUAUCUCUGCAUAUAGAAAAGACAACCCCACCUUCAGAAAGGGGGAAGCCAUUAUUCAUCUGAUAUCUCCUACCUCCAUUUCCAAACCAAAAUCUCGUUAGACCACCAUCCGCGAACGACACAAAUUCGAGUCGCCGUAAAACAACGAUUCAACCAUUUUUCUUCGACCACCGCCGGCGUCUACAAACCGCCGUACAAACACCACCCAACCCUCAUUACCGCCACCACGAAAUCGCCGGUGAAUGCUAUCCAAAGCAAGCUACAACAACGUAACUCACAUCCCUUUCUUCCUCACACAACCGUCAUACUCGAUCCUCUUUCAAUAACAAAACACCACCAAAAAUCAUCUUCUGCCAACCGCCAUCAAACCGACAUUCCGGCGAUACCCUUCACUCAACGGCGAAGUACCGCCGUGACGAGAUCCCCGGCAACAACAAC